ensembl:misc_RNA Metazoa_SRP Metazoan signal recognition particle RNA
GCCGGGCAUGGUGGUGCAUGCCUGUAAUCCCAGCUACCUGGGAGGCUGAGGCAGAAGAAUUGCUGGAACCCAGGAGGUGGAGGCUGCAGUGAGCCAAGAUGGUGCCACUUCACUCCAGCCUGGGCAACAGAGCAAGACUCCGUCUCAA